AGUGAACGCUGGCGGUAGGCCUAACACAUGCAAGUCGAACGGCAGCACAGUAAGAGCUUGCUCUUACGGGUGGCGAGUGGCGGACGGGUGAGGAAUACAUCGGAAUCUACUUUUUCGUGGGGGAUAACGUAGGGAAACUUACGCUAAUACCGCAUACGACCUACGGGUGAAAGCAGGGGAUCUUCGGACCUUGCGCGAUUGAAUGAGCCGAUGUCGGAUUAGCUAGUUGGCGGGGUAAAGGCCCACCAAGGCGACGAUCCGUAGCUGGUCUGAGAGGAUGAUCAGCCACACUGGAACUGAGACACGGUCCAGACUCCUACGGGAGGCAGCAGUGGGGAAUAUUGGACAAUGGGCGAAAGCCUGAUCCAGCCAUACCGCGUGGGUGAAGAAGGCCUUCGGGUUGUAAAGCCCUUUUGUUGGGGAAGAAAAGCAGUAGGUUAAUACCCCGCUGUUCUGACGGUACCCAAAGAAUAAGCACCGGCUAACUUCGUG
rnacentral:rRNA from 1 species